GAUUGAAGUGUCGUACUCAUGGGUACCUUUCUGGCGCGAUUAUGUGGGCGUGUUGGAGCCUAAUCAGCCCUCGCGUUUUUAUAUUCGUUUCCUGGGUGUACUUGCCCGUGCGGUAGGUUAACAUCAAUUUCGGACGUCAUAAAAUGACGGGAGGAAUGUAGCUUUGGUCUCGUACUGAAGUGUUAUAGCCUCUGGUAGAUGUGACGUCUGGGAUUGAGGAUUGCAACGGAUACCUUUCGGGGCUACCUGUCUGGCCUCUGAUGGUUGCUUUGGUGUCGAAAGCUUGCUUACGGUCAUCAAAGUUAAAAUUAGAACAUUAAAUUCG
rnacentral:rRNA from 1 species